rnacentral:lncRNA from 1 species
AGAUGGUGGAGACAGGUGGGUUCUAGGUGCGUUAGGAAGGUGUAUAGACCUGGGGCUCAGGUGUGGGAAGGGGCCAGCGAGUGAGAGAAGCUCGGCCUGGGGAAGAGGCUCUGAGAGGAUGGGCAUCCCAGGAGUGAGAGUUUCGAGAUUUCUUCGGGAAAGACGGGGUUUUGGGAAAUGUGCUGUGGUGCUGUCUGUAUGUCACACGAUCUGCGAGGAGCUGCGAGAUUAAAGGGGACGUGCGUA